rnacentral:lncRNA from 1 species
UUUGUUCAUGCAUCUAAUCAAAUUUUUUUUUUUUGGUUUUGCGUUGUGAUGUUUGUUUGCGGAGAAAAUGAGAGGUAAUUAAAGCAAGGGCAAGUGAACUACUCAUGUUGACUGGUUCAAGCCAUGGGGUUUGACCAUGGACUCAGAGACUCAACAAAAAGCCAUAUAGAAGGAACAUAUAACAUAAUUUUUGGUUUAUUUUCCUCUGGGGAUUAUAAUCGUGGUAGUCUG